rnacentral:rRNA from 1 species
UGGGGAAUAUUGGACAAUGGGCGCAAGCCUGAUCCAGCCAUGCCGCGUGAGUGAUGAAGGCCCUAGGGUUGUAAAGCUCUUUCACCGGUGAAGAUAAUGACGGUAACCGGAGAAGAAGCCCCGGCUAACUUCGUGCCAGCAGCCGCGGUAAUACGAAGGGGGCUAGCGUUGUUCGGAAUUACUGGGCGUAAAGCGCACGUAGGCGGACAUUUAAGUCAGGGGUGAAAUCCCAGAGCUCAACUCUGGAACUGCCUUUGAUACUGGGUGUCUUGAGUAUGGAAGAGGUAAGUGGAAUUCCGAGUGUAGAGGUGAAAUUCGUAGAUAUACGGAGGAACUCCAGUGGCGAAGGCGGCUUGCUGGUCCAUUACUGGCGCUGAGGUGCGAAAGCGUGGGGAGCAAACAGG